rnacentral:RNase_P_RNA from 1 species
GAUGGCUGGGUGAUCGCGGGUGGCAACAUCCGAGGAAAGUCCGGACUCCAUGAGACAAAGGUGCCGGGUAACGCCCGGCUGGGGCAACCCAAGGGAAAGCGCCACAGAAAUGAAACCGCCUGCCGGUUCCGGGGUUCGCCCAAGGGACAUCACGCGCAGGUAAGGGUGAAACGGUGGGGUAAGAGCCCACCGCGCCGCUGGCAACAGGGGCGGCACGGCAAGCCCCACCUGGAGCAAUGCCAAAUAGGGGUCUCGCUGUGGGGCUCGUGUGCCGGCAACGGCAGACCGCCACAGGGAUGUUUCAACCCAGAGACCCGGGUUGGCAGCUGGACCCGUCUGGUAACAGGCGGGCUAGAUGAAUGGUUACCCAGGGCAGUUCGCUGCCCGGACAAAAUCCGGCUUACAGGCCGUCC